rnacentral:rRNA from 1 species
GCCUACAGCCAUACCACCCUGAAAGCACCUGAUCUCAUCUAUCUUGGAAGUUAAGCAAAGUUGGGCCUGGUUAGUACUUGGAUGGGAGAAAAUAGAAAUAUUAGUCU